rnacentral:lncRNA from 10 species
GUUGAAUUUCACCCUAACAAUGUAAAUUAACAGCUUAUCUUCAUGGGUACUGGACAAAGGACAGAACUAAAGGACAUCCCUCCACCCACCUGAACCUAAAAUAUACCCAAUGUACCCCUGAACCUAAAAUAAAAGUUCAAAAAAUUGAUUAGAUUCAGAUGUAUCUUUGUCCACUCCUUUAUUUUCAACUCUUUUUAUCAUUUUACUUUAUGUCUUCAAAAUAGCAUAGAGUUUGAAGCUAUAAUUUCUUUCUCUCUUUUCUCUCUUUAUUUUUCAAGAGAUGAAGUAUUACUCUGUCACGCAUACUGGAGUGCAGUGGCAUGAUUAUAACUCAUUACAGCCUUUAACUCCUGAGCUCAACCAAUCCUCCUGUCUCAGCCUCCUGAGUAGCUGGGACUACAGGUGUGUGACCCCAUACCUUGUUGUAGUUUACUUAAUCUAUUAAUGCAAUUGUACUUAUCUUUUCACAGGGUAGUUCAAUACACUGAAUGAUUGUAUAAGUGGGAAAAGUGGCAUCCCCCUUGUCCAGUUUCUAUAAGACUACCAUUGAAUAAAGGCCUCAAUCAACCAUCCAUACCUACUGCAGAUUCUUCUAGAUGCUGAUGUAUGCGGAACCCAGAAUUUCUAUUCUUGGCACCCAUAUAAGUAAAUUUUAUUUGUUCUGCAUUAUGUUCUAGUUUUCUUGAUAUAGCACUUUAAAAAAUCAUUUUCAUACAAAUUCAUAUGGUUUCUGCAAAUAUAAAUUAACUGUCUCUUGCAACUGUUUUGAUAUGUAAGCAAUGACACCCAAAUUCAGAUUUCAUUGUUGUCCCUUAGGGGUAUCCUAGUAUCUGACUCUAGUUAGGGGGUUAGAAUUAGUUAUACUGGCUAUGAGACUUCUGUUGAAUUGACAUUCUUUUAGGAGCUGUCUCAAGUAAGAGCUUUCUAGUAUCUUCAAACAAAAAAAAGGACUCACCUACUCAGACAGAAAGUCUAUUUUUUAAAGGACGCUUAGAGAGAUUUGUGGGGUUCAAGGUUAUUAUAUUUAUAAAGAUCUACCCAAAUUUACCCCUUUGAUUUCAGAGUCCCAUUACU